rnacentral:rRNA from 1 species
AGUGAACGCUGGCGGUAGGCCUAACACAUGCAAGUCGAACGGCAGCACAGUAAGAGCUUGCUCUUACGGGUGGCGAGUGGCGGACGGGUGAGGAAUACAUCGGAAUCUACUUUUUCGUGGGGGAUAACGUAGGGAAACUUACGCUAAUACCGCAUACGACCUACGGGUGAAAGCAGGGGAUCUUCGGACCUUGCGCGAUUGAAUGAGCCGAUGUCGGAUUAGCUAGUUGGCGGGGUAAAGGCCCACCAAGGCGACGAUCCGUAGCUGGUCUGAGAGGAUGAUCAGCCACACUGGAACUGGGGCACGGUCCAGACUCCUACGGGAGGCAGCAGUGGGGAAUAUUGGACAAUGGGCGGAAGCCUUAUCCAGCCAUACCGCGUGGGUGAAGAAGGCCUUCGGGUUGUAAAGCCCUUUUGUUGGGAAAGAAAAGCAGCAGGUUAAUACCCCGCUGUUCUGACGGUACCCAAAGAAUAAGCACCGGCUAACUUCGUG